rnacentral:lncRNA from 1 species
AGUGUCAGCCACGUCUAGCGCACAGUCCCAGGCCCCAGGGCGAAGGCGGCCAGGGGAAAUGGGGCUCAGGGAUUGCUAAGCAAACGCAUCACUGGUGGUCUCCAGCGCCUGCGGAGCAUCAAGCUUAUGAAGAUUUCCAAGACUUUAUUGUUGACCCUUGUUGAAGAGAACUCUACUUGGCUUCUUUCCUGGCUUUCCUAAAUUGUUCACAUACAAGAUAAACUACCGUCAUUCAGACUUACAGAAGUGAGAAGACAAGCUGAACCAAAUGUAAAAUGGUAGCAAUUUACAGGUAAUUCUGUAUCUUAAUUUCUCCCACAUUUUUAGGGUAAAAAAUUGUGAUAUAUGGGGGUUAUUUGGAUCAAGUGUUUUCUAAGUAGAACUUUGUCAUAAUUAAUUUUAUGUAUUUAUAGUAGUUCUCCCUGUGUCCCUUUAUCCAAGCAACACAAUACAA